GAGCUGUGUGUGCAGCGGGGUAGAUGGGACAGAGAGAAAGCGAGGUGUUUAAACGCUCGGAAAUCAUCUUCUAAUUUAGGAACCGAGCUGCAAGGUAUCUUUCUCCCUUAAUGGCUUGAGCUGGGAAUCUGGAUUUUGACCCUCUUCUCUUGCCAGGCCCCCAAAACGUCUUCAGGCAUCAACAGAGGGCAAGGGUGAGGCUUCGGGGCGGCAGUGCCAUCCCGGUCUGGAACCCGAGGACUCAGACGCCAGAGCCCCUCCCGGCCUCUGUCGACUCCAGCUUCUGCCGGCUGUCAUCGCCCGUCGUCGCCGCUGUUGCACGGUCGUUAUUAAGCACUUUAACACUUGCACAAGGAGUGUGCGACUCUCCAGUGACGCUCCUCCCCGCAUCGCUGUCGGAGGAGAGCUGCAAUUGUUCUCCCUGUUUUGCACACGAGAAAAUGAAGGGCUGGGAAAAGAAUUGCGAGACAUAAAAAUGUCCCACUGCCAAUGCCAGAAGUUCCAGCUCUGAGCGGAGGUAAUGCCCACUUUGAAUUGCUUCUCUCCGUAGUUCUUCCAUGUUUCUUGAAAUGAUUUAC
rnacentral:lncRNA from 1 species